AAAAGAAAAGAAGCCCAGAACCAAUCCGCAUUGUUCCGGGCUUAGGGGAAUGGCUCAAGGUUGAGCCGUGCGCUAGAGGGGAAGAUGCAUCAAGCUGCAUCCGACAGAUGAUUCCAGUGUAGCCAACCGCGUUUUUUUUGCGCAAAA
rnacentral:sRNA from 1 species